rnacentral:rRNA from 1 species
UACGAAGGGGGGCUAGCGUUGUUCGGAAUUACUGGGCGUAAAGCGCACGUAGGCGGACUAUUAAGUCAGGGGUGAAAUCCCGGGGCUCAACCCCGGAACUGCCUUUGAUACUGGUAGUCUCGAGUCCGGAAGAGGUGAGUGGAAUUCCGAGUGUAGAGGUGAAAUUCGUAGAUAUUCGGAGGAACACCAGUGGCGAAGGCGGCUCUCUGGGACGGUACUGACGCUGAGACGCGAAAGCGUGGGGAGCAAACAGG